CUUCUCUUCUCCUCUUUCCUCCUCCUUCUCUCCUGUUUUCUUCCCCCUUCUCCUCUGUUUUCUCCCCCCUUCUCCUCUUCUGUUUCCUCCCCUUCUUCUUUUGACCAAGAGAACAAUCAACAACUUCUUCAACUUUGUAUUAUUUUUAACAGAUGUCAGAUCAUAGAAAAGACAGAACUUUUUUCCCUUUUUUUAGAACCAUGUGAGCGAAAGACAAAACUUUUCUUCCUCUUUUUUCAGACCCACGUGAGCAUAAGACGGAAGAUAGAAGACCCACGAACGAAGAACGGCCAGGAACGAAGAAUGGCGCAGAUGGAGGAAGUCGCACGAAUGGCAAACUAGGGUUUAAUUUCAAUUUAAAGUUUUGUUUUACAUUUGAACCGAACCGACCCAAUUCAAUUCGGUAACAAUACUGUUGAAGUCCAAUCCAACCCGAACCGAACCGAAUCAAGUCAGAGAAGAUGAAGAGAGUAAGAGGGAGAAGAUGAACACACGAUGUUUUAAAGUGGUUCGACAAGGCCUACGUCCACUGUGCUUUAGAGAGCAAGGUAUUAUUUCUUUUCAAUUUUUUGUGUGUGCAAAAUAUCAAAGAGAUACAAGAGUAUUUAUAGACUACCCUAUCACCUUUAGCUAAACUCUAGUUAGACAAGAAAUUAAAACUUACAGAUUUAACUAUAUGUCUUUUACAAAGAGAUAACUCUUUUAGAAAAGAGUUAUUCCCACACUUUCAAAUGGGCUUAUAUCCACAAAAUAUUCCUAAGGAGCUAAAAGUUCAAAAGCACUAGGUAAGGGUAGGUAUGGGUAGAGAGACUUCCAUUAAAGCGGGGGAUUAUUCCUGAUAUUUUAGAAAGUGAGAUGAAUUACUUAUAGGGAGAAUUUACGCUUCUUGCAACUAAACUAAGGCCAAAUGUGAUAUUUCGUUUUCAUAUGCAACGAGAUCUUCUUCGGGAUGGAAGAAAAGUUGUUACAGAGUGU